UACGUAGGGGGCAAGCGUUGUCCGGAAUCAUUGGGCGUAAAGAGCGUGUAGGCGGCUUGGUAAGUCCGCUGUGAAAGUCCAGGGCUCAACCCUGGAAAGCCGGUGGAAACUGUCAAGCUUGAGUCCGGAAGAGGCGAGUGGAAUUCCUGGUGUAGCGGUGAAAUGCGCAGAUAUCAGGAAGAACACCCGUGGCGAAGGCGGCUCUCUGGGACGGUACUGACGCUGAGACGCGAAAGCGUGGGGAGCAAACAGG
rnacentral:rRNA from 1 species